rnacentral:rRNA from 1 species
UACGGAGGGUGCGAGCGUUGUCCGGAAUCAUUGGGCGUAAAGGGCGCGUAGGUGGCCCGGUCAGUUCGUGGUGAAAGCGCGGGGCUCAACCCUGCGUCGGCCAUGAAUACUGCCGCGGCUGGAGCACUGUAGAGGCAGGCGGAAUUCCGGGUGUAGCGGUGGAAUGCGUAGAGAUCCGGAAGAACACCGGUGCGAAGGCGGCGACCUGGUCCAUUACUGACGCUGAGGCGCGACAGCGUGGGGAGCAACAGGAUUACGAUACCUAUAG